rnacentral:rRNA from 1 species
AGAUUGAACGCUGGCGGUAGGCUUAACACAUGCAAGUCGAGCGAGAAAGUAUCUUCGGAUAUGAGUAUAGCGGCGGACGGGUGAGUAACGCGUAGGAAUCUACCUAGUAGAAGGGGAUAGCCCGGGGAAACUCGGAUUAAUACCGUAUACCUCCUAAGGGAGAAAGAGGGCCUCUCUUGAUGCUCUCGCUAUUAGAUGAGCCUGCGUAAGAUUAGCUUGUUGGUAAGGUAAUGGCUUACCAAGGCUACGAUCUUUAGCUGGUCUGAGAGGACGAUCAGCCACAUUGGGACUGAGACACGGCCCAGACUCCUACGGGAGGCAGCAGUGGGGAAUAUUGGACAAUGGGCGCAAGCCUGAUCCAGCCAUACCGCGUGUGUGAAGAAGGCCUUCGGGUUGUAAAGCACUUUAAGCAGGGAGAAAAAGUUAUAAGUUAAUACCUUAUAACCGUGAUGUUACCUGCAGAAUAAGCACCGGCUAAUUCCGUGCCAGCAGCCGCGGUAAUACGGAAGGUGCAAGCGUUAAUCGGAAUUACUGGGCGUAAAGCGCGCGUAGGUGGUUUGUUAAGUUGGAUGUGAAAGCCCUGGGCUCAACCUAGGAACUGCAUCCAAAACUAACUCACUAGAGUACGAUAGAGGGAGGUAGAAUUCAUAGUGUAGCGGUGGAAUGCGUAGAUAUUAUGAAGAAUACCAGUGGCGAAGGCGGCCUCCUGGAUCUGUACUGACACUGAGGUGCGAAAGCGUGGGUAGCGAACAGGAUUAGAUACCCUGGUAGUCCACGCCGUAAACGAUGACAACUAGCUGUUGGGAGACAAUGUCUUUCAGUGGCGCAGCUAACGUUUUAAGUUGUCCGCCUGGGGAGUACGG